UNGGAAUUACUGGGCGUAAAGCGGGCGCAGACGGUUACUUAAGCAGGAUGUGAAAUCCCCGGGCUCAACCUGGGAACUGCGUUNUGAACUGGGUGACUAGAGUGUGUCAGAGGGAGGUAGAAUUCCACGUGUAGCAGUGAAAUGCGUAGAGAUGUGGAGGAAUACCGAUGGCGAAGGCAGCNUCCUGGGAUAACACUGACGUUCAUGCCCGAAAGCGUGGGUAGCAAACAGGAUUAGAUACCCUGGUAGUCCACGCCCUAAACGAUGUCGAUUAGCUGUUGGGCAGCAUGACUGCUUAGUAGCGAAGCUAACGCGUGAAAUCGACCGCCUGGGGAGUACGGUCGCAAGAUUAAAACUCAAAGGAAUUGACGGGGACCCGCACAAGCGGUGGAUGAUGUGGAUUAAUUCGAUGCAACGCGAAGAACCUUACCUGGUCUUGACAUGUACGGAACCCUCCAGAGACGGAGGGGUGCCUUCGGGAGCCGUAACACAGGUGCUGCAUGGCUGUCGUCAGCUCGUGUCGUGAGAUGUUGGGUUAAGUCCCGCAACGAGCGCAACCCUUGUCAUUAGUUGCCAUCAUUAAGUUGGGCACUCUAAUGAGACUGCCGGUGACAAGCCGGAGGAAGGUGGGGAUGACGUCAAGUCCUCAUGGCCCUUAUGACCAGGGCUUCACACGUCAUACAAUGGUCGGUACAGAGGGUAGCCAAGCCGCGAGGUGGAGCCAAUCUCACAAAACCGAUCGUAGUCCGGAUUGCACUCUGCAACUCGAGUGCAUGAAGUCGGAAUCGCUAGUAAUCGCAGGUCAGCAUACUGCGGUGAAUACGUUCCCGGGUCUUGUAC
rnacentral:rRNA from 1 species